rnacentral:rRNA from 1 species
GGGGAAUAUUGGACAAUGGGCGCAAGCCUGAUCCAGCAAUGCCGCGUGUGUGAAGAAGGCCUUAGGGUUGUAAAGCACUUUCAGUAGGGAGGAAGGACUUAAUCCUAAUAUGAUUAAGUAUUGACGUUACCUACAGAAGAAGCACCGGCUAACUCUGUGCCAGCAGCCGCGGUAAUACAGAGGGUGCGAGCGUUAAUCGGAAUUACUGGGCGUAAAGAGUGCGUAGGUGGUUUAGUAAGUCAGAUGUGAAAUCCCCGGGCUCAACCUGGGAACUGCAUUUGAAACUAUUAGGCUAGAGUGCGGUAGAGGGAAGUGGAAUUUCCGGUGUAGCGGUGAAAUGCGUAGAUAUCGGAAGGAACAUCAGUGGCGAAGGCGACUUCCUGGACCGUAACUGACACUGAGGCACGAAAGCGUGGGGAGCAAAC